CAUUGAAAGACCCGUUCCCUUGCGAUCAUGGAAGUUAAGCAACGUCGAGCUUGUAAGUACCAAGAUGAGUGACCUCUUGGGAAUACCAGGUGCU